rnacentral:rRNA from 1 species
GAUCCUGGCUCAGGAUGAACGCUAGCUACAGGCUUAACACAUGCAAGUCGAGGGGCAGCAUUUCAGUUUGUCUUGCAAACUGAAGAUGGCGACCGGCGCACGGGUGAAGCAACACGUAUCCAACCUGCCGAUAACUCCGGGAUAGCCUUUCGAAAGAAAGAUUAAUACCGGAUGGCAUAUGAUUAUCGCAUGAUAAUCCUAUUAAACGAAUUUCGGUUAUCGAUGGGGAUGCGUU